UUGUCACUUUUUCAUUGGCUUUCCUCAUGUUGGUGGUUGUUCUUUAUAUUUUCUCCCAUUGUUGGGUUUCUAUUUUUUCACAAUGUGUUUUUUUUUCUCUUUUUUAUUCCUUUUUUUUUAAAAUAAGACCGUGAGACCAUCUGCAUUACUUGUUAUAUAGUUCAGGUUCUUGGGAUUUUUUUCUGUAUGCUUUGUUAUUCAUUCAUUUGUGUUUUCUCUUUUAGCUGGUUCCACAGGGUUAGUCUCAGCUGUGAGUCUAGUUGAGUUCAUUUAGUUCCUGUUUUCUGUUGGUGAUGUGAGCUGACUUUGUCCAUUUUGUGUUUUGAGUUCUGUUCCAAUGAUUUAUGUUUGUUUCAUGUUCCUUUAUUCUCAAGCAGUCAGAGCCGUGAGAGCUGAUCUGUGUCAGCUGCUGGCUCGGGGUCUCCCAGACGUCAGCCCUGCUGACCCUUCCUGGGGGAGCCCUGGAGAGGGAGAGGAAUCCGGAGGAAGAAUCGCAUCCUGCGGCUCCUGUUUGGUCAAAUUUGUUUUUCUUUUUCCAUUUUUGAUUGCUUUGUACUUUUUUCCAUUAUAUUUUGUUUCCUGCCACCAUUCGUAUGCAUUUUGAGUUUCUCAUUUAACAUUUUCAUAGAACAGUCUCCGUUGUUGGUGUGGUGUAGUUGAUAUAGUUCAUGGUUUCUGUUGGUGAUGGGAGCAGAGUGAGUUUGUUCAUUUUUGUGUUUUGAUUUCUGUUCAUUUGAUUUCUGUUGUUGCAUUUUCAUUUGUGCACCACUCGUCUCCCUUCCUGGGAGCCCCGGGAGAGGGAGAAGAAUCCCGAGGCCAGAAUCGCAUCCUGGAUGGGGACUUCCUGGGGCGGGACUGACUGCCGGUCCCCCAAGCCCUCUGUGUCCCCAGUGGCUCCCGCGUCCCUCAGCAGAGCGGGGCAGGAGGUGUCCAUGGCGGAUCCUGGGACCAAGGUGAGAAGGCUGUCAGGUAACUACAUUCCAGUCCGGGUGGCUCUACAAGGUUCAAGACCCAAAGAAGCCCCAGAAUCUCGAUCUGCACCAGCAAGAAGACUUCCUGUGGAAGGACCUCUUGGAGGUCACCACGAUCAUCCACUGGAAGAUGGACUCCUAGACGCCCAGCUCAGAAUCCUCGCCCUUCCAGAAGAGGUGUUGAGUGUCCCUCGUCCUCGCUGCCCCCAGAUAGGACCCUGUGGCUUCUCUGGCUGCCCCCAGGAGAAACGAUCGACCACCAUGAGAAGGACUCCAACAGCCCAUCUUCAGAAUCCUCGCCCUUCCAGAAGAGGUGUUGAAUGUCCCUCGUCCUCGCCGCCCCCUGAACAGGACCUCGUGGCUUCUCUGGCUGCCCAGAGGACCCCGUGGCUGCUCCGUCCCCGGGGAGCAGCUGCUGCCUGGGAAGAACCUCGUUGCCUCUGUUGGUGCCCAUGGAUUGCCCUGCACUACUGCCUCUGUGCCUGCAAGUUAACUGAUUUAUGAGUUUAAAAGAAAUCCAUUAGGUCAUAAAUUUGUGGCUGGAGAAACAUGAUUGCUCAGUGUGGGUUCGGGCACCUGUGCUCACACACGGGGAGCGGAGCGCUGGGAGCCUGGAGGAGGCAGCUUGGAGCCGCGCCCGGGGCCUGGGCUGAGUCCUGGCUCCUGUGCCCCCGGCUGGCACUGCCUUGGUUUCCCAGCCCCUGGGACUCUGUUUCUGGGUCUGUCAAGGGGGUGUGAGUGACAGGAGCACCUGCCUCCCAGGAAGCACCCGGAACAGCACCAGACUUCCCUGGCUGCUGGGUAGGGCUGGGUCCUUAGAGGCGAUUAGCUGACUGGGCGGGGUUCUGGGAGCUGUCAGCCUCUGUGGGUCUUGGGCUGUGGGGGAGCUGGCUCCUUCCUGUGACCCCCACUGGCCUUUCCUUUGUCCUUGCCCCUUCUCCUUGCCUCUCUGUCCCUCCACUGUUGGAGGCCCCGAGCCUGAUUUGGGGCUCUCUCUCCCCUUCUCUGUCCUCUGUUCCUGUCCAGUCCAGGUGGCCGCUGUUCCUCCCCUGACCUGGGAGCCCUGGGGUCAGAGCCCUGGGCGUCAGCAUCUGGGAGCAGAUGCCAGGACCUGGCUCAGGGCUCAGGUUCAGAGACAACUCUUUCCCGGGACUGAAGGAAGCUCCUUAGGCCAGGUGCAUGGAGUGGAGUCCAUGUGAGGACAGCAUUAUCACAGAGAAAUGGUCACGAGUCAGGCAGCUCCCAGAACUGGAGCAGGUGCUGAGGACCCCACUCCCUGACAGGUGUGGCAUCAUUGCUGGACAACAGGAAGUGAGGUGGAGAGAUCAGCAUCAUAGUUCCAGGGCUGGGCCAGGCUGCCCGGCUUUCUGUUCUGGUUCUCCUGUCCAGGCCUGGGUAUCCUUGGGUUGUGCAGUGUCUGUGUGGGGCCCGCAUUUGUGACGUUGGCACAGGCUGUGAGGAGGCAGCAUGGGUGUGGGUAACCAGCAGAGCACAUGUGGCACAGGUGUGACCUGGGCGGGCUCACUUGAUCCUGGAGGCUGCUCCACUCGGGCCUGGGACCCUUGGCUGUCACAGUGCACAUGGAUACCGCCCCUUCCUGUCUACCACAUGGACAUGCAGGAUUCGGCACGGUGCCUCUGCUGUUCACAACUCCCAGGGGUCUCAGAGCAGGUGUGCACACACCCUGCACACGCAGCCCUGAGAGGGUCUCUGGUGGACACAGCUGGGAGAGGACGGGUUCAUGCAGAGGCCGAGUGUACCUGGCUUGUUAAGAAGGCUGUGCCCCCGGCCCCCUGUGCAGCGGCACUGGAGGGCUCUCACCCCACACUGACAGUGGGCAGGAUGAGCGUUGUCCCUACAGACACUGGGGUGUGGGUGCUGGGGUUGCAUUCAUGGGCACCCCUCUUCCCUGCAACGUGGAGUGCACGUGUGGCCAGGCUUCGUGGGUGUCCUGCAGGAUGUCGGGUCACGGUUUCUGCCUGUGGCUGUGUUGGCCAGGUGUGGAUUCUGAGGUCCUUUCAUUAUUGGGAGGUCCUCGUGUGUCACCAAAACCAAUUGUUCGUGAUUGCAAACACUUUAUUAAAAUAAAUUUGUAAAAAGAUAUAUUUUUUGGCA
ensembl:lncRNA